GGUUAAGUUAGAAAGGGCGCACGGUGGAUGCCUUGGCACUAGGAGCCGAUGAAGGACGGGACGAACACCGAUAUGCUUCGGGGAGCUGUAAGCAAGCUUUGAUCCGGAGAUUUCCGAAUGGGGAAACCCACCACUCGUAAUGGAGUGGUAUCCAUAUCUGAAUUCAUAGGAUAUGAGAAGGCAGACCCGGGGAACUGAAACAUCUAAGUACCCGGAGGAAGAGAAAGCAAAUGCGAUUCCCUGAGUAGCGGCGAGCGAAACGGGAUUAGCCCAAACCAAGAGGCUUGCCUCUUGGGGUUGUAGGACACUCUGUACGGAGUUACAAAAGAACGAGGUAGAUGAAGAGGUCUGGAAAGGCCCGCCAUAGGAGGUAACAGCCCUGUAGUCAAAACUUCGUUCUCUCCUGAGUGGAUCCUGAGUACGGCGGAACACGUGAAAUUCCGUCGGAAUCCGGGAGGACCAUCUCCCAAGGCUAAAUACUCCCUAGUGACCGAUAGUGAACCAGUACCGUGAGGGAAAGGUGAAAAGCACCCCGGAAGGGGAGUGAAAGAGAUCCUGAAACCGUGUGCCUACAAGUAGUCAGAGCCCGUUAACGGGUGAUGGCGUGCCUUUUGUAGAAUGAACCGGCGAGUUACGAUCCCGUGCAAGGUUAAGCAGAAGAUGCGGAGCCGCAGCGAAAGCGAGUCUGAAUAGGGCGCAUGAGUACGUGGUCGUAGACCCGAAACCAGGUGAUCUACCCAUGUCCAGGGUGAAGUUCAGGUAACACUGAAUGGAGGCCCGAACCCACGCACGUUGAAAAGUGCGGGGAUGAGGUGUGGGUAGGGGUGAAAUGCCAAUCGAACCUGGAGAUAGCUGGUUCUCUCCGAAAUAGCUUUAGGGCUAGCCUCAAGGUAAGAGUCUUGGAGGUAGAGCACUGAUUGGACUAGGGGCCCCUACCGGGUUACCGAAUUCAGUCAAACUCCGAAUGCCAAUGACUUAUCCUUGGGAGUCAGACUGCGAGUGAUAAGAUCCGUAGUCGAAAGGGAAACAGCCCAGACCGCCAGCUAAGGUCCCAAAGUAUACGUUAAGUGGAAAAGGAUGUGGAGUUGCUUAGACAACCAGGAUGUUGGCUUAGAAGCAGCCACCAUUUAAAGAGUGCGUAAUAGCUCACUGGUCGAGUGACUCUGCGCCGAAAAUGUACCGGGGCUAAACGUAUCACCGAAGCUGCGGACUGUUCUUCGAACAGUGGUAGGAGAGCGUUCUAAGGGCUGUGAAGCCAGACCGGAAGGACUGGUGGAGCGCUUAGAAGUGAGAAUGCCGGUAUGAGUAGCGAAAGAGGGGUGAGAAUCCCCUCCACCGAAUGCCUAAGGUUUCCUGAGGAAGGCUCGUCCGCUCAGGGUUAGUCGGGACCUAAGCCGAGGCCGAAAGGCGUAGGCGAUGGACAACAGGUUGAUAUUCCUGUACCACCUCCUCACCAUUUGAGUAAUGGGGGGACGCAGGAGGAUAGGGUAAGCGCGGUANNAAGGCUGAGCUGUGAUGGCGAGCGAAAUAUAGUAGCGAAGUUCCUGAUUCCACACUGCCAAGAAAAGCCUCUAGCGAGGUGAGAGGUGCCCGUACCGCAAACCGACACAGGUAGGCGAGGAGAGAAUCCUAAGGUGAUCGAGAGAACUCUCGUUAAGGAACUCGGCAAAAUGACCCCGUAACUUCGGGAGAAGGGGUGCUCUGUUAGGGUGCAAGCCCGAGAGAGCCGCAGUGAAUAGGCCCAGGCGACUGUUUAGCAAAAACACAGGUCUCUGCGAAGCCGUAAGGCGAAGUAUAGGGGCUGACGCCUGCCCGGUGCUGGAAGGUUAAGAGGAGCGCUUAGCGUAAGCGAAGGUGCGAAUUGAAGCCCCAGUAAACGGCGGCCGUAACUAUAACGGUCCUAAGGUAGCGAAAUUCCUUGUCGGGUAAGUUCCGACCCGCACGAAAGGCGCAACGAUCUGGGCACUGUCUCAACGAGAGACUCGGUGAAAUUAUAGUACCUGUGAAGAUGCAGGUUACCCGCGACAGGACGGAAAGACCCCGUGGAGCUUUACUGCAGCCUGAUAUUGAAUGUUGGUACAGCUUGUACAGGAUAGGUAGGAGCCUUGGAAACCGGAGCGCCAGCUUCGGUGGAGGCAUCGGUGGGAUACUACCCUGGCUGUAUUGACCUUCUAACCCGCCGCCCUUAUCGGGCGGGGAGACAGUGUCAGGUGGGCAGUUUGACUGGGGCGGUCGCCUCCUAAAAGGUAACGGAGGCGCCCAAAGGUUCCCUCAGAAUGGUUGGAAAUCAUUCGCAGAGUGUAAAGGCACAAGGGAGCUUGACUGCGAGACCUACAAGUCGAGCAGGGACGAAAGUCGGGCUUAGUGAUCCGGUGGUUCCGCAUGGAAGGGCCAUCGCUCAACGGAUAAAAGCUACCCCGGGGAUAACAGGCUUAUCUCCCCCAAGAGUCCACAUCGACGGGGAGGUUUGGCACCUCGAUGUCGGCUCAUCGCAUCCUGGGGCUGUAGUCGGUCCCAAGGGUUGGGCUGUUCGCCCAUUAAAGCGGUACGCGAGCUGGGUUCAGAACGUCGUGAGACAGUUCGGUCCCUAUCCGUCGCGGGCGCAGGAAAUUUGAGAGGAGCUGUCCUUAGUACGAGAGGACCGGGAUGGACGCACCGCUGGUGUACCAGUUGUUCUGCCAAGGGCAUCGCUGGGUAGCUAUGUGCGGACGGGAUAAGUGCUGAAAGCAUCUAAGCAUGAAGCCCCCCUCAAGAUGAGAUUUCCCAUUCCGCAAGGAAGUAAGAUCCCUGAAAGAUGAUCAGGUUGAUAGGUCUGAGGUGGAAGUGUGGCGACACAUGGAGCUGACAGAUACUAAUCGAUCGAGGACUUAACCAC
rnacentral:rRNA from 1 species